GGAGUUUCCCUGAUCGGAGAUGUAGAGUGCACUAGGCGGUUUGACUGAAAAUACUAGGGCUGGGACAAUCGGUGCUACUUUUUUGCUUCGCUGUUUAAUUGACGCAGUCUAAGUUCGAGCUCCACUUUCAUAUAAAUCGGUCACACUUCCGUUCACAACUCAACUACUCUGGAAUUUGCUUUUAUUUUUAGUUGCUCAUACGACACGUGCACCUCUAAUAUGUGAACCCCGCCGCUCGGCUGUGCCCAACAUAUCUGCACUCCAACAUAUAAAAUAAAUAUUAGCUACAUAUCAAAUUUAGUGUUUUUUUGUUGUUGUUUUGGUAUUAGAUCGUUCAUAGCUGUCAUUCAUUCAUUGCUUGGCGACAAGUCGCACGUAUGUCAAUAACACAUGUCAGCCGCACGUUGCCUAUUUGCGCUUUUAUUUUUCCGAGCAUUGCGAAGAAGAGCUCACAGUCAUACUGUUUGUAUUUAAGUAUUGUUUGCUGCUUAGGAGGAAGUCUAUCUCAUACAGACUGCGCUUUAGUAUGAAUGUGCAAUUUUUAAGUUUAAAUUUUAACCCGCAGAUGAUUGAUGAAUAUAUUUUAAUAACUAGAUGGGAUUAAUCAGAAUUUUAUUAAAUUUCACGUAUAAGGAAUGAUAAAUCAUUUAAAUAUCUUCAUUAAAGUGUCAAUUUUAUUUAAAUGGUUGACAUCAGCUACUCGAAUGCAGUUAGAAACAUUCAUGCUUACAUAUAUGUUUGAAAUACUGAUAUUUCCCAAAAAUUUCACGGUAUAUUAGCUUAAGCUGAAACCAGUAAGCCAAUCAAAUGAGAUUUACUUUUUUAAUUCCCACUAAAAAUAAGUUCUAUGAAAAGUGCAUAGAAUGCCGUAUGGUGCCCGAAAAUUAAAAAAAAAAUCGAGAAAUAAGAUGCGAAAAAUCCAGAAUA